UACAGAGGGGGCAAGCGUUGUUCGGAAUUACUGGGCGUAAAGGGCGCGUAGGCGGCCCGCUAAGUCGAACGUGAAAUCCCCGAGCUCAACUCGGGAACUGCGUCCGAUACUGGUGGGCUUGAAUCCGGGAGAGGGAUGCGGAAUUCCAGGUGUAGCGGUGAAAUGCGUAGAUAUCUGGAGGAACACCGGUGGCGAAGGCGGCGUCCUGGACCAACACUGACACUGAUGAGCGAAAGCCAGGGGAGCAAACGGG
rnacentral:rRNA from 1 species